rnacentral:rRNA from 1 species
AGCGAACGCUGGCGGCAGGCUUAACACAUGCAAGUCGAGCGGGCACUUUCGGGUGUCAGCGGCGGACGGGUGAGUAACGCGUGGGAACGUGCCCUCUGGUUCGGAAUAACUCAGGGAAACUUGAGCUAAUACCGGAUACGCCCUUUUGGGGAAAGGCUUGCUGCCGGAGGAUCGGCCCGCGUCUGAUUAGCUAGUUGGUGAGGUAACGGCUCACCAAGGCGACGAUCAGUAACUGGUCUGAGAGGAUGAUCAGCCACACUGGGACUGAGACACGGCCCAGACUCCUACGGGAGGCAGCAGUGGGGAAUAUUGGACAAUGGGCGCAAGCCUGAUCCAGCCAUGCCGCGUGAGUGAUGAAGGCCUUAGGGUUGUAAAGCUCUUUUAUCCGGGACGAUAAUGACGGUACCGGAGGAAUAAGCCCCGGCUAACUUCGUG